GACGAACGCUGGCGGCGUGCUUAACACAUGCAAGUCGAACGAUGAACCGGUUUCGGCCGGGGAUUAGUGGCGAACGGGUGAGUAACACGUGGGCAAUCUGCCCUGCACUCUGGGAUAAGCCCGGGAAACUGGGUCUAAUACCGGAUACGACACUCCGAGGCAUCUUGGGGUGUGGAAAGUUCCGGCGGUGCAGGAUGAGCCCGCGGCCUAUCAGCUUGUUGGUGGGGUAAUGGCCUACCAAGGCGACGACGGGUAGCCGGCCUGAGAGGGUGACCGGCCACACUGGGACUGAGACACGGCCCAGACUCCUACGGGAGGCAGCAGUGGGGAAUAUUGCACAAUGGGCGAAAGCCUGAUGCAGCGACGCCGCGUGAGGGAUGACGGCCUUCGGGUUGUAAACCUCUUUCAGCAGGGAAGAAGCGAAAGUGACGGUACCUGCAGAAGAAGCGCCGGCUAACUACGUG
rnacentral:rRNA from 1 species